AUCCUUUAAAAGUAAAUUUUUAGUAUGAACCAGUGCUGUAUAAAAUAUGUCCUGCUGGUAUGUAAAAAAAACAACAAAAAAAAAACGAAAAUGAACAUUCUAAUCUUGAUAAUUUGAAAAAAAUGUUUGGGAAGGGAGCUGUUUAUCAACCAUGACGUUUACUUAGAUCAGCUGCAAGAUCGGGAAAGGAAGGCAAUAAAUACCCUCUCUUUAUAUAUCAAAGACAUACAGACUGGAAUUAUUCCGACGUCAAUCCUCAAUUCUACUCCGAGUCCAACAAGGGCGCCAGCACUCUCUUUCAUUAUGAUGCCAAGUUUGAGCGUAAUCUGUAGACCAGUUUGCUUGCAACAGCAGGAUAAGUCAAUCUAUCUCACUUUUGCUCCACGAUUUUUACAAUGAACGAAAUUAUCGAACAAAGGGUUUGCCUUAAUUUUGUGUCGCGAAAGAAAUUUAAUCUGCUGACGCGUAUAAAAUGUUAGGAAAAACUUUCGGUGAAUUAGUUUUAUCAAAAAUCGUGCAUAUGAGUGGUGCAAAGCCUUCAAGGAGGGCCGUGAGAUCGUCAAAGACAUGCUGCGUUCUGUUCAUUGUUUUCUUUGAUAUCUUCAGCCUGGUGCAUCAUGAACUCGUUCCAACGGGGCAAUUGGUCAAUAAGGAGUACUAUUUGGGGGUACUAAGGUGUUUGCGUGAGAAAAUUCGUCAAAACGGCCAGAAUUAUAGAAAUACAACUCGUGGGUUUUACACGACGAUGACGCCCCAUAGCACAGAGCCACAAUUGUGACCGAAUUCACAGCCAAACACGUAAUAAAUACCAUCAAUUGACCACUAAUUUAGUUUCCUGUGACUUUUUUUUUGUUUCCCAAACUUAAAUUGUCACUCCGUGCAGCCCAUUUUGAGUCUAUAGAAUCCAUAAAACAAAAUUUGUGGAAGGAGCUAAAGACAAUGCCAAAAAGUGCCCGUUAAAAAUGUUUCGAGGACCGAAAUUUUUUGCCAUAUAUGUAUUGAAUCCAAUGGAGAUUACUUCGAAGUUGAUCAAUAAAUUUUAAGUUUUAAAUGU
rnacentral:lncRNA from 1 species